CGUUUAAUUGCAAUAGUCUUUCUUUCUUUCGUUCUUUUUUGUACUUUUUAUUACCUGUGCGUGGUAAUGAUUAUUGUGUCCAUAUUUUUUCCGGUAAUUUCUCCUUCCACUUUGAAGUACAAAGGCUCAGUCUGAUAUACUGAAACUCCAAUUUUCUUGGUUGUGUUAAAUUAAUUUCUUGUUAUUGAAGAAUCUACAGAUAUCUUAAUAUCAGCCAGGUAAUUGCUUUAGGAAAUCCCAUAAUACUCUUACCUUUACUUGUAUAUUACUAUAUCAUAUGUUACUUAAUCAUGGGAUAUAUAAAUCUGGAUUGCUAAGAAUUCAUUGUACCAGCAACAUAUGAACUUCUAAGGUUGAGAUUGCUAUAUGUUACGUAUCCCUUAUACAACUUAUUCCGUCGUAUUGGUGUGUAUUUUCUCUGGAUCAAACGAUAAGCUGUAUAUUAUCCCCUCGUCUGAAGUAUUCAUUCUCUUGCUGGAUAUUAUAUUCUAUUCCAUUUCCUUGUGGAACGUGAAUGUGUUGUUUAAUCCUAAUUAUUUGCUAUGAUGACCAACUGGCUCAACUCUAUAAUUCAUACUGAAUGUUGAUUGUCACCGAAGUACUUAAGGUUCAUUUUUGGUGGGUUUUGUCACGACUCCCUGCAAUAUUGGAGAGAAAGAUACAUAUAUCCUUGCCCAUUAAAAGCUCCCCAACACAAUUGCAGCUCACAUUCCAUGUUUGGAACGGUCUGCAGACCCGGGUUGGAGGACACUGACACAACUUCAGACGACUGAAGUCUGAAACAACGUCUUGAAGGACCUGCAAGGCAUCAUUAUAUCUUUGCCCGUAGGAUAGGGGCUUGAGAUUUGAAAAGAAGUGCCUCAAUAGUCAAUAUCUGGAAUGUUGAAAUGUAUGUUUCUGGUAUAAAAGUAAUCAUAUUCCUAUGAUAUACAUGUGCGGUUUUGAAUGCCCUUCUUUGAGAGAUUUAAGAUCUUUAAAAUUUGGUAAAAAGGAACUGAGCUACAUGCA